AGUUUCUGAGCCAUUUGUACACAACAAUUUGAAAAAUGCUUAUACAACAUAUUUGUAGAUAACUGUUCUAGAAUAUAAGUUACGAAGAACUAAUGAAGCAAUUUUGCAGGUGCUGAAACAUAACUAAUAUCGGUAACACUACGAUUUUUUGAGUUUCUUUGCUCAGCAAAGCAACAAUUUGAAAUUUCGAAAGCUAACAAAUUUCUACGGUUCUUCUCCCAAACAAAGUCCGUGUCCGUCCACAGUUUAUCCUAUCAUCAAGAACCACAGCAGCGGCGCCCAUCGCGGACAGCCAAGCGUCGUUGAAGAAGCCCACGGAAAAGGCCGACACGGCGGAGAAGAAGACGCCGGUCGAAGGCGAAGGUGGGUAAGCGGCUCCUUCAUCAGCGACGUCUUCGAGGACUAGGAGGAGCUGGUUGCCGCCCGCCUACCCACCUCCAAACUAGAAGCCCACUGUUUCGUCUUGCGAGAUCCAGGCCUCCAUUCUCCUCGGCGUCGCCCUCCAGCUCGCCAAGCAUGCCGUCUCCGAGACAAGGCCGUCACCAAGGAGCAACACAAUAACUUGAGUUAUCUGGAGCUACAUAACCAAUGGACGCGUGCUUGAGAAAAAAAAAACAAUGGAGGAGAUUUUAUUCCAAUCAUGCUAUCUGGAAUUGGCGGAGCAUUGAUUGUAUUUCGACUCAUACAUGUUACUGAAUCCUCUACAAAAAUUUGUCAUACAGACAACAGGGAAGAAUCAUAAAGCUGAAGUGUCAUGUACCUCUUCAGUUAUUUCAGGGUUUUACUGGCACUUUCUGGAAGGAUUCUUGAUAUUCCAAAGUCUCCAACUCGGGCACUCAUGUCUUCCGCGAGGAGGAUGUUGCUUGGCUUGAUAUCACAAUGAAUUAUAGGUGGCCGACAGUGAUUAUGAAGAUAGUCCAAAGCAUCCAUGAUACCGACAGCAAUGUGUAGCCUUUGUUCUAGGCUAAGAGAAUUUGCCCGAGUGGGCAUGUCAGACCCUGGGUGAAGCCAACCAUUUAGGCUACCAUUAGGCAUGAACUCAAAAACUAACGCCUUGAACUCUUGACCCUGGUGAUCGAUGCUUGAGCAACAGCAUUAGACAUGGAGCAUGGAGCUAAAUGAAGUCGAGGUAUUCCACCACAAAGCUGAUCAUUUCCAUAGAUUGAAAAGUAAGUUACAUUUGCAAAAAUACCCCCUUUUGGUACUUCACCUUGCAGAUCAUUGAAGGACAGAUCCAAUUUCAACAAGAAUGUCAAAUUCUGUAAACCUAAGGGUAUCAGACCGGAUAAGUUAUUGUGCGCUAGAUACAACUGUUUCAGGCCACCAAUACUACUAAGGGCAUCAGGAAUAUUGCCAGAUAGUUUGUUCAUUGUCAAGUUCAGCAGAGCAAGACCUUUUACAUUUUUCAGAGUUUGGGGUAUGCUUCCCUCUAACAAGUUUUGGUCCAGCAACAGCCUUUCCAACGAUAUGCAAUUUCCGAUACUAUCUGGUAUGCUGCCAGAUAACUGGUUUCCUGACAGGAUCAGUUGGUUAAGGUUUGCCAACAUACCAACAUCACUAGGAAGUGGCCCAGACAACAAAUUGUAUGAUAAAUCCAAGUAGUAGGAAAGUGCAGGAAGUUUAAGGAUCUCUCUAGGAACCGAUCCGUUGAGUCGAUUUGCUGAGAGAUCAAGGACAAACAUAUUUUUCAAGUUUCCCAAGCUUGCUGGAAUUGGCCCCUCCAAGUUGCAACUGUAUAAAGCAAGUACAUUCAACUGCGUGAGAUUUCCUAGCGACGAAGGUAUGAGGCCUGACAAGCGAGUGUUAUAAAUCUCUAACACUGCCAUGUUUUCUAGCCGACCAAUGCUCUCCGGAAUCACUCCGGAUAUGGAAGUAUUCUCCAUCCCAAGUGAUUGCAGACCAACCAAAUUACCAAUGUUGGAUGGAAUAGACCCAGAAAUCCUAUUGUCUCCCACACCAAGUAAUUGGAGAGUCGUCGACAGGUUUGCAAUUGAACUGGGAAGUUUUCCACUGAAGGAGUUGUACUCAAGAUCCAAGAACCCAAGCUGGCUGCAGUUUGCCAGUGCAGUGAUGAAUUCCCACCCUCCCCUGUCAUCUGCUUCCAGCUUGUUGCUAAACAAGUUCAGGGAAACGAGACCUUUCAGUCUCCCCAAAGCAGGAGGAACGUGUCCACUAAAACUGUUCUGCACGAGUUGAAGAUCCUUGAGAGCAGAGAGGUUGGAGAGUGAACCCGGGAUAGUUCCAUGGAACUGGUUGGCAGAAAAGUGAAGAACUUCGAUUCUAGGGAACCUUUCGCCAACAUUUGCAGGAAUACUUCCAGCCAGCGAGUUGUUAACUACGGACAGUUCUUGCAGCAUGGACAGAUUGUACAGAGAGUGUGGAAGCACACCUGAGAGGUUGUUCAUGUUGAGGUAGAGGAAGCGCAAGCCCCCAAUGCUGCCGAGUUCAGGUGGGAUGGGGCCCUCGAGCUGGUUUGUACCCAGAUCAAGAUGGUACAGAGAUGACAUGUUGGCUAGCGAUGCUGGGAUACCGCCAGUCAUGCUGUUGUUCGCCAACGAGAGCUUCUGAAGGUUUGCGAGAUCGCGGCCGAGCUCAGCAGGAAUGCGGCCAUGGAGCCGGUUGCUGCUGAGGUCGAAGAAGAGUAAGCUGGCGCAGAAGGUUAGAUUGGCAGGCAGCCCUCCGUGGAAGGUGUUGUAGCUCAGGUCAAGCGUCUGCAGACGUGCCAGGCGGCCGACGCUUGCAGGGAUGGUUCCCUGGAACCAAUUGGAGCUCAGGUUCAGAAUCCGCAGGGACGUGAGGUUCCCGACGGCCGGGGACAGGGUGCCGGCGAGGCCGCGGGAGGGCAGGCUCAGCACCACCACUCGCCGGUACCUUCCUCCGCACCUGACCCCCUCCCAGCUGCAGAGCCACCCUCCGGCGCCGCUGCUGUUCCACGAGGCAAGCGGAUCGCCAUCGUAGGCGCCGCCGGCGACCGCUGCGGCCUUGAACGCUAGCAGCGCAGUGGCCUCGUCGUCGCCGGCUUGUGCGGCCACGGGUGCCGAAAUGGACAUGGAGACGACGGAUAGCAGCGGCGGCAACAGCAGUAAUAAGCUCGCCAUCGCCGAGCGCAUCGCCAUGUGCUGGUGGUUGCUUUGAUUUUGCUGAUGCUUCUUGUGCGAUCGAUGAUCAUGGUAUUGUUAAUCCCUACUUAGAUCGUGGACUAAUCCCGUGAAAGGGUACGUGAAUAAAUGAUCAUGGUGGAGCUGGGCUGCUGCUAGCGAAGAUCUUGCUGCCAGACACAGGCCUUGCCUUUCUUCGGUCAGAGCAGGGCAGCUUACAUGAUGUUUUGUUUAAUCCUGAUGGAUGCGUGCUAAUACAUGCAACAUGCACAUGCAUCGCAUCUGAUUCGUGGUUUGGUAGACGUCGCUGCCUGCUUCUGUUUUUGACUUUGACAUGGCUGGCAGCCGCUUUCCAAGUAUGGUUUGGACUUUGACCUUUUUCCCGGUUUCAGGGAUUUUUUAAAACUAGUUUAGGAACAUGUUCUAGCUAUAUGGAGAUUUACCAGAUUCUUUUCCUAGUCUGAGGCAAACUUUUGAUUCAACUAUAUUCACAAAUUACCCAAUUCUGCUCUAACAAAUGGAGCCUGACAUGGAAAGAUGAGUUAGUUUGUUUUUCCCCUCGUUGCAUAAGCAAACUAACUGAGUUCUGUUGGCAUUCUUUACUGUAAAA